AUUGAACGCUGGCGGCAUGCUUUACACAUGCAAGUCGAACGGUAACAGGUUAAGCUGACGAGUGGCGAACGGGUGAGUAAUGCAUCGGAACGUGCCCGGUCGUGGCGGAUAACACUUAGAAAGAAGAGCUAAUCCCGCAUACGAUCUGAGGAUGAAAGCGGGGGACCGUACGGCCACGCGCGAUCGGAGCGGCCGAUGUCAGAUUUGGUCGUUGGAGGGGUAAAGACCUACCAAGCCGACGAUCUGUAGCUGGUCUGAGAGGACGACCAGCCACAAUGGGACUGAGACACGGCCCAUACUCCUACGGGAGGCAGCAGUGGGGAAUUUUGGACGAUGGGCGCAAGCGUGAUCCAGCAAUGCCGCGUGCAGGAAGAAGGCCUUCGGGUUGUAAACUGCUUUUGUACGGGGCGAAAAGGCUCUCUCUAAUACAGGGGGCUGAUGACGGUACCGUAAGAAUAAGCACCGGCUAACUACGUGCCAGCCGCCGCCGUAA
rnacentral:rRNA from 1 species